rnacentral:rRNA from 1 species
AUUGAACGCUGGCGGCAUGCCUUACACAUGCAAGUCGAACGGUAACGCGGGGCAACCUGGCGACGAGUGGCGAACGGGUGAGUAAUGCAUCGGGACGUGCCCAGUAGUGGGGGAUAGCCCGGCGAAAGCCGGAUUAAUACCGCAUACGACCUACGGGUGAAAGCGGGGGACCGCAAGGCCUCGCGCUAUUGGAGCGGCCGAUGUCAGAUUAGGUUGUUGGUGGGGUAAAGGCCUACCAAGCCGACGAUCUGUAGCUGGUCUGAGAGGACGACCAGCCACACUGGGACUGAGACACGGUCCAGACUCCUACGGGAGGCAGCAGUGGGGAAUUUUGGACAAUGGGCGAAAGCCUGAUCCAGCCAUUCCGCGUGCAGGAUGAAGGCCCUCGGGUUGUAAACUGCUUUUGUACAGAACGAAAAGGUUUCUACUAAUACUAGGAGCUCAUGACGGUACUGUAAGAAUAAGCACCGGCUAACUACGUGCCAGCAGCCGCAGUAA